rnacentral:rRNA from 1 species
AUUGAACGCUGGCGGCAUGCUUUACACAUGCAAGUCGAACGGUAACAGGGUGCUUGCACCGCUGACGAGUGGCGAACGGGUGAGUAAUGCGUCGGAACGUGCCGAGUAGUGGGGGAUAACGCAGCGAAAGUUGUGCUAAUACCGCAUACGUACUGAGGUAGAAAGUGGGGGACCUUCGGGCCUCACGCUAUUCGAGCGGCCGACGUCUGAUUAGCUAGUAGGUGAGGUAAAGGCUCACCUAGGCGACGAUCAGAAGCGGGUCUGAGAGGAUGGUCCGCCACACUGGGACUGAGACACGGCCCAGACUCCUACGGGAGGCAGCAGUGGGGAAUUUUGGACAAUGGGCGCAAGCCUGAUCCAGCAAUGCCGCGUGCAGGAUGAAGGCCUUCGGGUUGUAAACUGCUUUUGUACGGAGCGAAAAGGCUUCCACUAAUACUGGGGGCUCAUGACGGUACCGUAAGAAUAAGCACCGGCUAACUACGUGCCAGCAGCCGCAGUAA